AGCGGAAGAAGUCGACUUGGAGGUUGUGCCCUUGAGGCGUGGCUUCCGGAGCUAACGCGUUAAGUCGACCGCCUGGGGAGUACGGCCGCAAGGUUAAAACUCAAAUGAAUUGACGGGGGCCCGCACAAGCGGUGGAGCAUGUGGUUUAAUUCGAUGCAACGCGAAGAACCUUACCUGGUCUUGACAUCCACGGAAGUUUUCAGAGAUGAGAAUGUGCCUUCGGGAACCGUGAGACAGGUGCUGCAUGGCUGUCGUCAGCUCGUGUUGUGAAAUGUUGGGUUAAGUCCCGCAACGAGCGCAACCCUUAUCCUUUGUUGCCAGCGGUCCGGCCGGGAACUCAAAGGAGACUGCCAGUGAUAAACUGGAGGAAGGUGGGGAUGACGUCAAGUCAUCAUGGCCCUUACGACCAGGGCUACACACGUGCUACAAUGGCGCAUACAAAGAGAAGCGACCUCGCGAGAGCAAGCGGACCUCAUAAAGUGCGUCGUAGUCCGGAUUGGAGUCUGCAACUCGACUCCAUGAAGUCGGAAUCGCUAGUAAUCGUGGAUCAGAAUGCCACGGUGAAUACGUUCCCGGGCCUUGUACACACCGCCCGUCACACCAUGGGAGUGGGUUGCAAAAGAAGUAGGUAGCUUAACCUUCGGGAGGGCGCUUACCACUUUGUGAUUCAUGACUGGGGUGAAGUCGUAAAAAAGGUAACCAAACCAAGUUGGGAAGAGCGGGAGGG
rnacentral:rRNA from 1 species